rnacentral:rRNA from 1 species
GUGCCAGCAGCCGCGGUAAUACGUAGGGUGCAAGCGUUAAUCGGAAUUACUGGGCGUAAAGCGUGCGCAGGCGGUUUUGUAAGUCUGUCGUGAAAGCCCCGGGCUUAACCUGGGAAUUGCGAUGGAGACUGCAAGGCUUGAAUCUGGCAGAGGGGGGUAGAAUUCCACGUGUAGCAGUGAAAUGCGUAGAGAUGUGGAGGAACACCGAUGGCGAAGGCAGCCCCCUGGGUCAAGAUUGACGCUCAUGCACGAAAGCGUGGGGAGCAAACAG